UGGGGAAUUGUUCGCAAUGGGCGCAAGCCUGACGACGCAACGCCGCGUGAGUGAUGAAGGCCUUAGGGUUGUAAAGCUCUUUUACCCGGGAUGAUAAUGACAGUACCGGGAGAAUAAGCCCCGGCCAACUCCGUGCCAGCAGCCGCGGUAAUACGGAGGGGGCUAGCGUUGUUCGGAAUUACUGGGCGUAAAGCGCACGUAGGCGGCUUUGUAAGUUAGAGGUGAAAGCCUGGAGCUCAACUCCAGAACUGCCUUUAAGACUGCAUCGCUUGAAUCCAGGAGAGGUGAGUGGAAUUCCGAGUGUAGAGGUGAAAUUCGUAGAUAUUCGGAAGAACACCAGUGGCGAAGGCGGCUCACUGGACUGGUAUUGACGCUGAGGUGCGAAAGCGUGGGGAGCAAAC
rnacentral:rRNA from 1 species